GAGAGGGGAACACCAAUUUAUUGUUAUACUUAUUUAGUGAUUCAUUGGUUGCUUCUUGCAUGUGCCCUGACCAGGAAUCAAACCCACAACUUUGGCACACCGUGAUGAUUCUUUGACCCACUGAGCUGCCAGCCAGGACUUUAAGAGUUCUUCAUAUGUGCUGGAUAGAAAAUAUUUCUCCCAUUAAAUAGGUUGGCUUUUCACUUUCUCUACACUAUUAAUUUAUUAAUAGAAUGUAUUAUUUUGAUAAAUUCCAUAUUAGGCCUUUUAUUUUCAGCCCAACUGCAGGGGGUCAGGGCAGGUUCAAGGGUAAAGGCACAGGCAGUCUCGAGGCUAUUGAUGCAGGAAGGUCUGGAGGACACCCUGCAGGUUCCCAGUGGAGCCGAAGGACACAGGACUGCCAUUGAGCAGGUGAUUCCCUCCUUGUCCCUCUUUUCUGCAGGAAAAUCAGGGCCUGUGGCAGGGGUGGUACUGGUGGCCAUCGAGGUAGCAGCUGCCAAGACCCUGUUCCUCUUCCUCUGCAUCAUCAUCCUCAUAGUCAGGUACCACAGGAGGAUGGUGAUGAGGCCCACAAAGGGCAUGAAAUAUGCAAACACAGAAUCCAGUUAGUGCCUCAGGUGAGUGACCCAGGAAUCUCACUGCCCAACAUCCCCCUGACCCCACCUCCAGGAUGGUCCUUGGGAUUGCUCUGCUCAGCAUGGUUACCGCUGAGCUGCCAUCUUCCUCCCCAAACCCACUUCUUUGCAGGGUCUUAGUCACAUAGAUGACACUGUUCCCUCCCUUCCUUUUUCGUCAUUCAAUAAGUCACUAAGUCUUGGCCACCCUUCCAUCUCAUCACAGCUCAGCUCAACGCCCAUCUCCUCCCCAACCUGACCCUGGUUGUUCCUGGGGCCUCAUCUCUUCCUGGGUGACUGAACCCAGCCAUGUCCUGCCUCCACUUCAGUCCUCAACCCAGGCCAACAGACUGUGUUUGUAGACACCUAUUCUCCACGUCUGACAUGGUGUGAUUGGCGAUAUUGCCUCUCCGUGGCUGGGGAUGAGGGACAAAUUCCACAGGCUGGAUUUAGGACUGCCAUGGCCUGUGCCCUGUGGACUCUCCAAUGGAUUCCACCCUCUUCUGGAGCUCACAAAAUCUCCACACCCAGCCAGGUCAUGGCCUUCGUGACUGAGAGUUUGCAUGUGCAGUUCCUUCUGCUGAAAUGCCCUCCCCUUCAGAUUCUUAUAUAUUCAUGUGUGUGUGUAAUUCUUAUGUGGUUUUGAAGAAAAUAAUAGUUACUUGUU